UAUGCAUAAAGUAUGCAUUUAGCAUAGGCACCGAAGCGACACAUAGUCGAUUCGGUCGCUAUCCGUUAGUCAGGCCUCACCGGUCCUGCCGUUGGCACGAUGGUCGGUCGACUUGUGAAGCCUAGGUUCCUCGUAAUAUAUAUUUUUAGGAUGCGUUUUUUUUUUAUUCGCGAUUUGGUAUGCAUAGAUAUGCAUUUAGCAUAGGGACCGAAGCGACACGCGUUGGCGAUUCGGUCACUAUCCGUUAGUCAGGCCUCAACCGUCUGCUGUUAGAGUAAUGGUCGAUCGUUGCGUGAAGCCUAGGUUUCUCGUAAAAAAAAUUAGAGUCAGUGGAUUAGUCCGAUCGGGGGGAAACCACUUAAAACAAAAAUCGCGAAAAGUUCCACCUCAAAAGUUCUACUUUUCCCUAUUCUUUUCCUAUUCCUUUUAAUAUUUUCUUUGCAGGAUAAACUAUGAUGCCAAAUUCCGUCCAAGAGAAGAAGGAAACGAACCUCAGGAGGACUGAGUUAUGGAAGGGGAUGUGGAUUAGAAGAUGGACCAGAAAUGGACUAAGUUAUGGUAAAUGGUAGUAAAAAAUAAUUAUUUUUAUAAGUAAAUGAAUAUUUUUAAUCAGUUUAUUGUUUCAUAUAACCAUUCCGUCCAAGAGGAGAGGAAAGUGGAUUAGAAGAUGACUAGAAGAGGACAGAGUAAUGGUAAACGAUGCCAUGGAUCAACCAAAAAUUAUAUGCAUUUAUUUUU
rnacentral:lncRNA from 1 species